GAUGAACGCUAGCGGCAGGCCUAACACAUGCAAGUUGAGGGAGAAGCCCUUCGGGGUAGAAACCGGCGCACGGGUGCGUAACGCGUAUGCAACCUACCUUUCACAGGGGGAUAGCCCGAAGAAAUUUGGAUUAAUACCCCAUAAUAUUGUUGGAUGGCAUCAUUUGACAAUUAAAACUACGGUGGUGAGAGAUGGGCAUGCGUCCUAUUAGCUAGUUGGAGUGGUAACGGCACCCCAAGGCUACGAUAGGUAGGGGUCCUGAGAGGGAGAUCCCCCACACUGGUACUGAGACAGGGACCAGACUCCUACGGGAGGCAGCAGUGAGGAAUAUUGGUCAAUGGUCGGAAGACUGAACCAGCCAUGCCGCGUGCAGGAAGAAUGCCUUAUGGGUUGUAAAACUGCUUUUAUAUGGGAAAGAAAUAAAGGAAGUACG
rnacentral:rRNA from 1 species